GGGCUGGUUAGCUCAGUCGGUUAGAGCGUGGUGCUGACAACACCAAGGUCGCGGGUUUGAUCCCCGUUCAGUCCC